rnacentral:rRNA from 1 species
UGGGGAAUAUUGCACAAUGGGGGAAACCCUGAUGCAGCGACGCCGCGUGCGGGAAGAAGGCCUUCGGGUUGUAAACCGCUUUCAAUUGGGAAGAAGAGAUGAGGGUUAAUACCCCUCUGAUUUGACGGUACCUUUAGAAGAAGCACCGGCUAAUUUCGUGCCAGCAGCCGCGGUAAUACGAAAGGUGCAAGCGUUGUUCGGAUUUACUGGGCGUAAAGAGAUCGUAGGUGGUUUGUUAAGUCGGAUGUGAAAUCCCGGGGCUCAACCCCGGAACUGCAUUCGAUACUGGCAGGCUAGAGUUUGGGAGGGGUAAGCGGAAUUCCGUGUGUAGCAGUGAAAUGCGUAGAUAUACGGAGGAACACCUGAGGCGAAGGCGGCUUACUGGACCAAUACUGACACUGAGGAUCGAAAGCGUGGGUAGCAAACA